rnacentral:piRNA from 1 species
AUUGAGAAGGCAUGUGCGGACGAU